rnacentral:rRNA from 1 species
UACGGGGGGGGCAAGCGUUGUUCGGAAUUACUGGGCGUAAAGGGUUCGUAGGUGGCCAACUAAGUCAGACGUGAAAUCCCUCGGCUUAACCGGGGAACUGCGUCUGAUACUGGAUGGCUUGAGUUCGGGAGAGGGAUGCGGAAUUCCAGGUGUAGCGGUGAAAUGCGUAGAUAUCUGGAGGAAUACCGGUGGCGAAGGCGGCAUCCUGGACCAUUACUGACGCUGAGGCGCGAAAGCGUGGGGAGCAAACAGG